CUAAAUAUCAACAAACUCGAUCCGAUCUGCGAGUCCAUUUCCCCUCCCGAAAACAAAAUAAAGAAGGAGAGAGAGAGAGAGAGAAAGAGAAAGAAAAAGGGAAGAAACGUUCGAACUCGUCCUUUUCGUCUUUGGAAACAAAGGACUCCGAAGUGAAGCAUGGUAGUCAAGAACGAGAAUACGAGAAAUGGGCAUGAGCUGGCUCCGUUGAACGAGGAACGUCAGGCAGGGCAGAACGUGACAAUCGUGGUAACCGGGAAUCAAAAUGCUGCUGGCAGUCAAGAAACCAAGGAGGAGAAUAGGGCGGAAUGGAGCGGGAAGAUGCAAUUUUUCCUCAGUAUUAUCGGUUACAGCGUGGGACUUGGGAAUAUAUGGAGAUUCCCUUACCUGUGCCAACAGAACGGAGGAGGUGCCUUUCUCAUCCCCUUUUUCGUGAUGCUAAUCCUAGAGGGUGUACCCCUCUUUUUAAUCGAGCUGGGUCUCGGUCAACGUAUGCGACAGGGCGCCCUUGGUGUAUGGAACACGAUACAUCCAUGGUUAGGCGGUAUAGGGAUAGCAUCGUGCAUCGUCACCUUCUUCGUAGCACUUUAUUACAACGUCAUCAUUACCUGGUGCUUCUAUUAUCUUUUCAAUUCACUGGAGGCCGUCACGAUUAAAGCUGGCGAACCGUUACCAUGGGCGAAAUGUCCGGAGGUUGAUGGGAAGCCGGUAGAGGAAUGCGUGAAGAGUUCGGAAACUGCCUAUUUUUGGUACAGAACCACUCUGGACGCGGCACCCUCGAUCGAGGAAGGAUCGAGCGGUCUGAAAUGGUGGAUCGUCCUUUGUCUACUGUUGAGUUGGAUCGUCGUCUUUUUUAUCGUGAUGAAAGGAAUACAAUCAUCGGGGAAGGUGGUAUAUUUUACAUCCAUGUUCCCGUAUUUGGUGCUUACUAUCUUUUUUAUUCGUGGAAUAACGUUAAAAGGUGCCAGCGCUGGAUUGGCCCACAUGUACACGCCAAAGAUCGAGAAGCUGUUAGAGCCGACGGUCUGGCUCGACGCAGCGACGCAAGUUUUUUAUAGUUUCGGACUAGCGUUCGGCUCCCUGAUCGCGUUCGGAUCUUACAACACUCCAGACAACCACUGCGUCCGGGACGUGAUUCUGGUUAGCUGUUGCAACGCCUUCACCGCAAUUUACGCGAGUAUAGUGAUAUUCGCCAUUCUAGGCUUUAAGGCGAUGACAAAUGUCGAUAAGUGCCUCGCAGGUAAUAAAGACUUACUCGUUGAACACGGAUUUGCCUAUCAAAACACCACCAUGGAGAGAUACAAAGAUAUUGUAAAUAAUCUCAAUGUAACAAAAAUGAAUUUCACCCUUGAAACAUGUAGCCUGAGCGAACAAUUGGACAACGCUGCCGAAGGAACGGGAUUAGCUUUCAUAGUGUUUACGCAGGCGAUAGUCGAGCUACCAGGCGCUCCUUUCUGGUCCUGUAUUUUCUUUCUGAUGCUUCUAGCCCUCGGUCUCGGUUCCCAAAUCGGUAUACUAGAGGGCAUGCUGUGCGUCAUCUUCGACAUAGAUCUGUUCAAGAGAAUAAAAAAGCAAUACAUGACAGGGGUAGUUUGCACGGUGUGCUUCUUUGUUGGUUUAAUAUUCUGUACCGGAGCCGGAGAAUAUUGGCUAAAGAUGUUCGACAGUUUCGCAGGUACCAUCGGUCUCGUGAUGGUCGCGCUCAUGGAAAUGAUUUCCGUCAUCUUUGUUUAUGGUCACGAAAAAUUCACGAAAGAUAUCGAGGAGAUGACAGGAUACAGACCAGGAGUGUAUUGGCAAUUCACCUGGCGAUUUCUCGCUCCCAUAAUCAUGGUCUGCAUCCUUGUCUCCAGUAUAAUCUCCAUGGUUGUGAAGAAGCCUCAAUAUUCCGCGUGGGAUGCGUCACGGGGCAUAGCUGUACCCACCGCGUAUCCCGGCUGGGUGUUGGCUAUAGCGGUCGUCAUCAUUUUUGCGGGCAUCGCGCCAAUACCGAUUGUAUUCCUUUUGAGGCGGUUCCAAUGCGUCAAGUUGGACGUUGACAUUCACCAAGGCAGCAUACGACGUAUCGAUACCACCGUUUCUACAAAAGAAAUGAUGGGAGAUGUCGAUACAACGUAGAGACGUAGUCAUCGUAAUAGAAGGACAACUUAAUUGGCGCACCGAGAGAGAGAGAGAGAGAGAGACAUGUCACGAUUGCCCGUGAUUAGAGCGAGUCUCAGGUGGGAAGAAGAAUUACGUUUACUCAAAGUGCGUCGAUUAAGCCUUAAGAACGAGAGAAUUUAAGAUUUACGUUGGACGUACCUGCAGUUAUAGGAAAGCGUCCGUUCUGUGUGCGGUAACGUCGAUUAAUCGCUUCUUCCAUAGCUACCUUACACUUGGACGAGUAUCACGAUCGCCUCGAAGAUUUUCCCGAGGAGGACGAAGACGUGAACAGCGAUGACGACAACAACAGUGCCCCGCCGAUAACGAAGAUCGUCCCUAACAAACUUCAGGGUAAACCGUUCAAAAUGGAAGUGAUGGACUUUUAAAAGUUGUCAGAUUCGUCGACUUUUGUCGUAUCGUUUUCACCUUACGUGACGACAGAACAUGGAAAGAGGGUUGAUCGAACAUUCUCAUCCCUUUCGAAUUUCGAUUCUCAGGAAACGCGUAAGACGAUACGAAAUAAUUGCAGGUACGAAUCGACGAAUGAAAGAGAGAGAGAGAGAGAGAGAGAGAGAGAGAGAGAGAGAGAGAGAG